CGCACUGCGCGCACCUACCCCUCUUCGGCAACGCUCCCAUGGUACGGCCCAACCUCCCUAAAUGGGCACGCUGUGCUGUCAGGGACACGGUGUAUCCUCUCUGCAUCAUGAUGGAUGGUAGUCAGGGUUCUUUGUCCCUUGUGAUGAAUUUGUUUUAGCAAUUGACUCAGGUCAUCAUGUUGCCACAGUUUUCUUGCCAAUGUGAGAUUCAUUCCAAUAAGGGUAUAAAAGGCUGUGCCAAGGCAAGUCACCUGCACUGGAAGCACAGAAGCUUUCCAAGAGAACAAGGACUGUGAGGAAAUGGGGAGAAGGAGACAAACAUCCAUGUCAUUCAACUUCUCUAUCUCAGCACUCAUCUCUCAAAUGCCUAUGAAACCCUCUGAGACAGUAGAACCCUGCUUCACACUGCCAGGAAGAUGUCUUGAGGGAAAGAAAAGCAAAGAACACUGAAGUGUCAUGUGUGGAAAACAGCAUCUCAAGUUUGCUGAAGAUAUAAAAGGAAUUUUAAAAUAAAACUGAGCAUUCUGUCUGCCAAAACUUUAACAAGGAACUGAACAACAACACUGUACUACUUUCAGAUUUUUUAAAACAUCCCAACAAUCCCACUUACGUACUGGGAUUUUCCAAAGAGCCAAGACAGACAGGUACAUGCUUUCUCCUAACAGAGACAAGUAAUAAUUCCAGAGCUGUGCCGACAGACACUUUCCAUUUUUAAGGAGAAGGGAGCCGAGCAUUGAACAACCCACCCAGAAUAAAGCCUCAGAAAUCCUAUGCCACAAACAUUUCACAUGAAGCAAAUGCCAUUCUGAUACUUUUUUUUUAAAUUUCAGACACACAACCAAUGGAACAGCCAAGAGGCCUCGUGUUCCCCACCUCUGGUUUCUGGCUCACCAGCUGCCCUAAGAACAAAAUUAUGCCAUUUUUCUUGGAGGAUUUGAUGAAAACUGAUAGGUUCCUGUGGAACAUUGAGUCCAACAAAUCAGUGUUUCCCCAAAGAAAGCUUUCUGUCAGAAUAUAUCCUGUCAGCUGUAGACCCCUCCCUUACAUCUGUUUUCAAGAUUAGCAAACUGCAGCUUUUCCCCCAUUUUUUUUGUUUGUUGUUGAUUUUGUUGUUUGUGGGGUUGUUUUUCUUUUUUAACCAUCAGGAAUACAAGUUUCCCCUCUUUCAGGUCCAUGUCUCUGAAAGAGGUAUUACAAAUGAAGGAAACUGUCUCCAUUAAGUAAAACACCAACACAACAAAUCAAUAAAAUAAGCUUUUUGUACUCUUCAGCUCAUCUUUAGCUCAGAAAUGCACUCCUGAGUGAAAAGGAUUACAAAACUAAUACUACUUAAAAACCUAACAGGAAAAGCUUCCUACAGAUGCUCAUAAUUCAAACAUAUUUAAGCUAUUUAUGAUCAUUUUAAUUUCAGAAGAUCCACUCUUAUCUACAUAUGCACUAAAUGAGAAUGGAGUCCUCCAGAGAUGAAGCCUGUGAUCUAAACACUGCAUAGAAAUGCAAAUUCAACCAAAAACCAGAGGUGUGCAGGCAACCUGGAUGCCAUUGUUUCUUAAUUUUGAAUUCCUGAAAACGCCAGACUACUGACCUCGGACAUCAGUGGUAAAGCACAGGAUGUGGGUACAUUGUGUGUAUUUUAUGUACACAGCACCAUCUCACCUGGACAUAUACCUACCUGUUCCUGGAUAUGUUGACCAAAAGGAAGCUGAGAUUUACAAGGUAAAAAAAGACUCAGAAGUUUCAAGCAUAAGGCAACAACAUUUUCAGGUAAGGUGCAGAUGCUGAUACACUGCCAAAAACAGUACCUACGACAGUGUCUGGCACUCCUACAGAAGGAAGAUCAGUAUCUCUUUGCCCACCACUAACAAUGCAUGCCACACCCCAAGAGCUGGUUCAGUACUACUCAGUUCACAUACCCAUGGACUUUCAAAGUAAUCACAUGGUAUUUUAUCUCCAGCCUUGUUCAUCUAGUCAGCUUAUUCCUCCUGAAGGAUCUGAAAGUUUUCCACAUCUCCACAGAGCUUAAGCCAUUCAUUGAGUUAGUUAAUUUUUCACCUGCUAUGAAAUUUAGUUACUCCUGGGCCUUUUCUGUUAUAAUGCUAUUUCAGGGUUUGGGUGGGCAUGCAGUGGUAUUAAAGAAAUGUUUGUACAUCUUUGUUUUCAAGAAGUGUUAAAUAAAUUAAAAUUAAAAAACUGUUAAC